rnacentral:misc_RNA from 1 species
AUUUGGACUCAGUUUUUUUCUGUUUCAUCAGAAUCAGUUUGUGGAGUGAUUCUCCGGGAUCUUGAAACGGAAACGAGGGAGCGAAGCUUUUCCUUGAUGAGCAAUAACCUGUUCUUUUCUAUCAAGUGUGAAUCCUGAUAAGCUUCACGGAGAAAAACUGAGUCUCGCUCCCCCUUCAAAGAGACAUAGAACAUAUCAGGAUGCCUUAUCAGCAUGCCUCUUAGCUGUUGUGAGAAUCUAAAUUCUUCCCUAAAAUGAGUAAGGUGAUCAACAAGAGUCCUUUUCUCGACUGUGAGGCUCAGAAGUUCAUGAACCACAGCACAUGCAUGUUUUUCUUUGUCCGGAGUACCAGGCCUUAUUUCAGAAAAAUCCUCAUAAGGAGAAAU